rnacentral:rRNA from 1 species
CCAGACUCCUACGGGAGGCAGCAGUGAGGAAUAUUGGUCAAUGGGCGGGAGCCUGAACCAGCCAAGCCGCGUGAAGGAAGAAGGCGCCAGGCGUCGUAAACUUCUUUUGUCGGGGAACAAAGGGCGCCACGUGUGGCGUUGUGAGUGUACCCGAAGAAAAAGCAUCGGCUAACUCCGUGCCAGCAGCCGCGGUAAUACGGAGGAUGCGAGCGUUAUCCGGAUUUAUUGGGUUUAAAGGGUGCGUAGGCGGGCCGGAAAGUCAGCGGAAAAGGCAGGGGGCUCACCCCCGGCGAGCCGUUGAAACUGUCGGACUAGAGACGGCGAGAAGUACGCGGAAUGCGCGGUGUAGCGGUGAAAUGCAUAGAUAUCGCGCAGAACUCCGAUUGCGAAGGCAGCGUGCCGUGCCGCCACUGACGCUGAGGCACGAAAGCGCGGGGAUCGAACAGGAUUAGAUACCGUGUAAA